ensembl:lncRNA
UAAAAAACUCCUUUAUUUGAACUUUUUCUACAAGUUUCCAUUAUUUCUAUAGCAGCUUCAUAUAAAGUAUGCACCAGGCUUUUAAUCUCAGUGUGGAUGCAUUGCUCACAGCUCUAAAACUAGACAUUAGUCAGUGCCGCUUAGCUUGCUGUAAAUGAUGGUUUAAGAAAAUCUGUGUUUAUUACAUACUUCUGGUCCACUUUCCCCAUACAUUUCAAUUUUAAAUUAUUUAGAUCAACUUACAUUGCAUAAGGCUCAGAGACAAGUGUUUUUAGCUGGUUUCAGAGCUGCUAAGAAGUUGAUUGCCACAAGAUGGAAACUUCAAAUGCUCAUUUGGCAGCAAUGGCUGCUCACUUUCAUGGAUGUGCUUAUCUUAAACUCUCCAUAGCCUAAAUCUGUGGAGCUAAAGAAGGUGUAGUUAAACUUUGGGCCCAAGCUGUGGAGAAUCUUAAAUCUUUACUGAACUGAUUGCUUCAUUGGUCUCUGCUCUCUAGCCGUUCAUCUCCCAUUUUUUGUCUUGCCUCCUUUUGGACAAGUUUUUUUUUUUUUUUUUUACAUUUUUUGUGUGUGGCUGUUAUGGUUCUCUUUGGUUGUUUGUUUUUUGCUGAACUUUUACUGUAGUUGUUCAUACUACUGAUAUGUUUAUGGGUUUUUGUUUGUCCGAAAACAUUGAUCACAAAAACUUACUUUAAACUAAUUGUCACUAUACAGUAAAUAUCACAAACUAAUUCUCUGCCUUGCCUUUUUUGUGCCACUAAUAUAUGUGAUUGCGUCUUCAACUCCACACGCAAGUCUUCCUUUGUGUUCAUGGUAAUGCAUGUCAGGAAGAGCACUCCAUACACAUUCACUGAUUUAUUCACAAUAUCUGCUGCAAACUUUUCUAUUUGUGGUUGUGAAAAGCAAGGAGAGAAAAGCACUCAUCAACAGCCAGUAAUUGAUUCUGGCACUCUUAUAGUAAAGCGGUGCCCAUGCUGAAAUAACGUAUUUCCUGGAUGAUCUUUUGUGGUGUAAUCAGACACACACACACACACAAAACGUUUAUUGAUCAGUUACACAUCUAUAUACUCAUAAUAUAUAUAGUAAAAAAUAGUUUGUCUUUGUGCAUUUUUAACUUUAAUGUAUAUCUCAACCCCAACUGUGUUUUAGGGUCUGAUGAUAAAACUGCAUUUUUAUUAGUCGAAACGAAGCUAAAUCUUGAACUAUCC